rnacentral:piRNA from 1 species
GUAGACCAGGCUGAUCUCAAACAG